CGGAGGGUGCAAGCGUUAUCCGGAUUCACUGGGUUUAAAGGGUGCGUAGGCGGGCUAUUAAGUCAGUGGUGAAAUCUCAGAGCUUAACUCUGAAACUGCCAUUGAUACUAUUAGUCUUGAAUGUUCUGGAGGUGAGCGGAAUAUGUCAUGUAGCGGUGAAAUGCUUAGAUAUGACAUAGAACACCAAUUGCGUAGGCAGCUCACUACGGAAAUAUUGACGCUGAGGCACGAAAGCGUGAGGAUCAAACAGGAUUAGAUACCCUGGUAGUUCACGCCCUAAACGAUGGAUACUCGACAUACGCGAUACACAGUGUGUGUCUGAGCGAAAGCAUUAAGUAUCCCACCUGGGAAGUACGACCGCAAGGUUG
rnacentral:rRNA from 1 species